AAUAGAUACCCGGGUAGUCCACGCCGUAAACGAUGAGUGCCAAGUGUUAGGGGGUUUCCGCCCCUUAGUGCUGCAGCUAACGCAUUAAGCACUCCGCCUGGGGAGUACGGUCGCAAGACUGAAACUCAAAGGAAUUGACGGGGGCCCGCACAAGCGGUGGAGCAUGUGGUUUAAUUCGAAGCAACGCGAAGAACCUUACCAGGUCUUGACAUCCCAUUGACCACUAUGGAGACAUAGUUUUCCCUUCGGGGACAACGGUGACAGGUGGUGCAUGGUUGUCGUCAGCUCGUGUCGUGAGAUGUUGGGUUAAGUCCCGCAACGAGCGCAACCCUUGUUCUUAGUUGCCAUCAUUUAGUUGGGCACUCUAAGGAGACUGCCGGUGACAAACCGGAGGAAGGUGGGGAUGACGUCAAAUCAUCAUGCCCCUUAUGACCUGGGCUACACACGUGCUACAAUGGACGGUACAAACGGUUGCCAACCCGCGAGGGGGAGCUAAUCCGAUAAAACCGUUCUCAGUUCGGAUUGUAGGCUGCAACUCGCCUACAUGAAGCC
rnacentral:rRNA from 1 species